AACGAACGCUGGCGGCAUGCCUAACACAUGCAAGUCGAACGAGACCUUCGGGUCUAGUUGCGCACGGGUGCGUAACGCGUGGGAACCUGCCCUUAGGUUCGGAAUAACUCCCCGAAAGGGGUCCUAAUACCAGAUAAUGUCUUCGGACCAAAGAUUUAUCGCCUUUGGAUGGGCGCGAGUUGGAUUCGCUGGUUGGUAGGGUAAAAGCAUAGCAAGGAGAGGAUGCAUAGCUGGUCUGAGAGGAUGACUAUCCACACUGGGACUGAGACACGGCCCAGAAUCCUACGGGAGGCAGGAGUGGGGAACAGUGGACAAUGGGCGAAAGCCUGAUCCAGCAAUGCCGGGUGAGUGAUGAAGGCCGUAGGGUUGUAAAGCUCUUUUACACGGGAUGAUAAUGACAGUACCGGGUGAAUAAGCUCCGGCUAACUACGUG
rnacentral:rRNA from 1 species